ACUACGGGGGGCUGCAGUGAGGAAUAUUGGUCAAUGGGCGCUAGCCUGAACCAGCCAAGCCGCGUGAGGGAGGAAGGUACAGAGUAUCGUAAACCUCUUUUGUCAGGGAACAAAGACUGGGACGCGUCCCCGGAUGAGUGUACCUGAAGAAAAAGCAUCGGCUAACUCCGUGCCAGCAGCCGCGGUAAUACGGAGGAUGCGAGCGUUAUCCGGAUUUAUUGGGUUUAAAGGGUGCGCAGGCGGUCUGUUAAGUCAGCGGUCAAAGCCCGGGGCUCAACCCCGGCCCGCCGUUGAAACUGGCAGUCUCGAGUUGGAGAGAAGUAUGCGGAAUGCGCGGUGUAGCGGUGAAAUGCAUAGAUAUCGCGCAGAACUCCGAUUGCGAAGGCAGCAUGCCGGCUCCACACUGACGCUGAGGCACGAAAGCGUGGGUAUCGAACAGGAUUAGAUACCCCUGUAGUC
rnacentral:rRNA from 1 species